rnacentral:lncRNA from 1 species
UUUAUUCCCACAACCACCCUGCUGUCACCGCCUGUUCCUUGUUUCUCUCUCUCUCUCUCUCUCUCUUCAAUUCUUUUUCUCUCUUCAACUCUCUCUCUAUCAUAGCUGCCACUUGUUCUGUAUUGAUUUUAGCAAAUGUGUCCAUAGCAACAGUAUGGAAUCAGUACAUUACAACACACAACAGUUGAUUGAGCCAUAAUAGAGAUGACUAGAUGGGGAUAUAUUUAGCCGAUUCCUUCUUUAAUAUCUUGCGUCAACAACCAGCUGUAAACACGGCAGCACAUUCAACGGUGGAUCGUUUCUUACAGAAGGCAGAGAAAGAACAACGACAACAUACUCAGUAAAAACAAAAGAAGGAUUAAAACACUGUUUACACCCAACAAAAUGAAGUAUUUCUACUUUACUACUAGCUACCUAUGAUUUGUAUCUUCCACUGAAUUCCUUAUUUUAAAAUUAUUUUUUUAUUGAUUCCAACAACAUCUCUAUGUAGUCACUUAGAUUUAAAAUUUAACAGCCGUUACAUACCUGUUGAUAGAAAUAACAACUUGGAGGACCUGUAUUGAUUAGCCCUAAAAAAGUCUGAGAUUUGAUCUCUGUCCCUAUUUGUUCAGCGGGUGAGGUAAUUCAUUUCAAAACUACUCCAAUGAAAAGGUUGGUCUACCUGGAAU